GACUUACAGCCAGCAUAAUUUUGUCUGCCCCGAUCGACUACCUGUAGUAACGAGUUCCUCUGGACCAAAACAAGGCGCUUCGAAACAUACCAGCAGGCAGGAGGAGCUUGUAGACAUCGCUUUCGGGUCCAGACUGGAGUUCGUCUAUGAUAAUCCUAAUCUGGAAGAAGUACGUCGUUUCGGGGGUCAAUCCGGACAGAUUCUUGUAGACGCUUACCAUUCGAUUUCCGAGGUACGGGUGGCUUGCCGUCGCAGAAGGGAACCAUGCAACAAGGUUCGCCAGGAGCUGGCCCCCAAUGGCAGUCCUCGAAGCCGACCGUGUCGAUGUACACUUCGCACCUGUCCUGGCAUUCGAUGAGUCCUUCUUCGUGGCAGACACACUUGUGGUCACAGCCGUCGUAGAAAACUUCUCCGGCUUCGUAUGUGCGGUUGCGGUGGACGCAGCCUUUGAACGACGUCUUCACCACUGUCCGGAAGAAACAAAAAUUAAAGUAUGCAUUGCAACGCAAGAAAACAACGUCGCCCGUACCUGACGCAAAGGUCCUGACUUUCACGGUGUUGCUGGAAGUUCCAGAUUCAGAAUCGCCGUCUUCUCGAGGCGGCCGCACAACCUUGAGGAACUGUCGUCGUCACCUGAAAAGUGGC